UACGUAGGGGGCUAGCGUUGUCCGGAAUCAUUGGGCGUAAAGAGCGUGUAGGCGGCUGGGUAGGUCCGUUGUGAAAACUCGAGGCUCAACCUCGAGACGCCGAUGGAAACCCCCCAGCUAGAGUCCGGAAGAGGAGAGUGGAAUUCCUGGUGUAGCGGUGAAAUGCGCAGAUAUCAGGAAGAACACCCGUGGCUAAGGCGGCUCUCUAGUACGGUACUGACGCUGAGACGCGAAAGCGUGGGGAGCGAACAGG
rnacentral:rRNA from 1 species